UACGGAGGGUGCGAGCGUUGUCCGGAAUCACUGGGCGUAAAGGGCGCGUAGGCGGCCUGAUAAGUAGGGGGUGAAAUCCUGCGGCUUAACCGCAGGGCUGCCUUCUAAACUGUCAGGCUCGAGCACAGUAGAGGCAGGUGGAAUUUCCGGUGUAGCGGUGGAAUGCGUAGAGAUCGGGAAGAACAUCAGUGGCGAAGGCGGCCUGCUGGGCUGUUGCUGACGCUGAGGCGCGACAGCGUGGGGAGCAAACAGG
rnacentral:rRNA from 1 species